CAAUAGCGUAUAUUAAAGUUGUUGCAGUUAAGAAGCUCGUAGUUGGAUUUCUGGUAGGAGUGACCGUGCCAGACUUGAUUGUCUGUGUAUUGUGUUGUCUCCAGCCAUCCUUGUGGAGAACUUUUCUUGCAUUAAUUUGUAGGGAUUGGGACCCGCAUCGUUUACUGUGAAAAAAUUAGAGUGUUUAAAGCAGGCAAUCGCUUGAAUACAUUAGCAUGGAAUAAUAAGAUAGGACUUUGGUACUGUUUUGUUGGUUUGUAUACCAAAUUAAUGAUCAACAGGAACAGUUUGAGGAUAUUCGUAUGAACAUGUCAGAGGUGAAAUUCUUGGAUUUUGAUCAGACGAACUACUGCGAAAGCAUUUAUCAAGGAUGUUUUCAUUAA
rnacentral:rRNA from 1 species